CACGGUCACAUAAAUUUUCAAAUGCACACUUAAAUACACACUUAAAAUGGGUUCAUUGGAUUGCAUAUAAAUUGCACCUAAAUGAAGCUAAAAGAGACUAGAAGGGUGUACCUCUAAUUAUUGAAGUAAUCCAUCACCCUUUCUCCCCUGACUCCUAGCUUUCUAAAGGGAAGCAGGACUGGCAUAGGAAAAUCCAACCGUUAGCAUUGUAUCUCAUUAUCCCCCUUGGUCUACACAAAGAGGAUGGGGGAAAAGGAAGAGAAAAAAGAGGGAGAGUCAAGUCUGUGGCCUUCUGUGCAAUCAGUGGUUAGGAAGAGGGAAGGGUAGAGAGGUGUACUUCCCCCAAAGGUAAGGGAAACAUUGAUGUUGUAAGAGAAUCACUCACAGAUAUGAGAGUACCUACAAAAAGAGGAAGCUGGUAUCUUAUCACCUUGCUAAAUUCUUGCUGAAAUGCAAAAUCUGCAGUCCACCUGUUAUUGCCACAAGAACUAAGCAGAGAACAAUGAGGAAGGGUUUGCCAUAUAUACCCUGAAGUGUUGAGAUCUAAAUAAACAUAGAAACUGGUGCUACUUCUUUCUGGAGAUUUCUGAAGGAGGUAGGCUUGCUAGGGAGCCUGCCUCAGCAAGGUAAGAAGGGACCCUGGUUUACUACACCAGGGAAGAAGAUGGAGGAAGCCUUCAAUCUAUCCUGUUUGACCACUGGAGCAUGGGAAUGAUGACCCCUAUGGUUCUCCGGACCUACUAGAAGGGGUCCAUGGCUUACAGGAGAACAUAGGAGUCAUAUAGUGGCCAAAUAAGGCAAAGCCCUACAUGGAGAAAGGGUUGGGAAUGUGGACAUAUGGGAGGGGCGGAUAGGAAGCAUGGGUCCCCUCUCUGAAGGGUCCUUGAUCAUGAAGAGUCAAGGUGAAGUGUUUACACUGGCCCAUCCCACCCUCAUAUUGCUACUCUACAGCAGAGUCAGUAGGAGCAGACAGAACCAGAACAAACUACCACAGGGCCUAGGACACUUGGCCACCACCCUAUGGCCAGUUACAGAAGAUCACAUCUCAAUUUCCCUCAUCAUCUGCCCCCAUUCCUACCAGAAGAACUAGCCCUUGAAAAGGAGGUGGUAGG
rnacentral:lncRNA from 10 species